rnacentral:rRNA from 1 species
AGUGAACGCUGGCGGCAUGCCUAACACAUGCAAGUCGAACGGCAGCACGGAAAGGGUUGCUUCUUACGGGUCGCGAGUGGCGGGCGGGUGAGAAAUACCUCGGCAUCUCCUUAUUCGGGGGGGACCACGUCGAAAGGCUUACGAUUACCGCAUAUAUUCUGAACGGGAAAGAUCAGGAGCUAUUCAGAGGCUUCGCGCUUGUUUAAGCUGAUGUCGCAUUAGCUAGUUGGUGAGGUAAAGGCCCACCAAGGCGAGGAUCCGUAGCGGGUCUGAGAGGAUGAUCAGCCACACUGGAACUGAGACACGGUCCAGACUCCUACGGGAGGCAGCAGUGGGGAAUUUUGGACAAUGGGCGCAAGCCUGAUCCAGCCAUGCCGCGUGUGUGAAGAAGGCCUUCGGGUUGUAAAGCCCUUUUGUUAGGGAAGAAAAGAAGUAUGUGAAUACUGGCUGAUACUGACGGUACCUAAAGAAUAAGCACCGGCUAACUACGUG